AGGAUGAACGCUGGCGGCGUGCCUAACACAUGCAAGUCGAGCGAUUCUCUUCGGAGAAGAGCGGCGGACGGGUGAGUAACGCGUGGGUAACCUGCCCUGUACACACGGAUAACAUACCGAAAGGUAUGCUAAUACGGGAUAACAUAAGAAAUUCGCAUGUUUUUCUUAUCAAAGCUCCGGCGGUACAGGAUGGACCCGCGUCUGAUUAGCUAGUUGGUGAGGUAACGGCUCACCAAGGCGACGAUCAGUAGCCGACCUGAGAGGGUGAUCGGCCACAUUGGAACUGAGACACGGUCCAAACUCCUACGGGAGGCAGCAGUGGGGAAUAUUGCACAAUGGGCGAAAGCCUGAUGCAGCAACGCCGCGUGAGCGAUGAAGGCCUUCGGGUCGUAAAGCUCUGUCCUCAAGGAAGAUAAUGACGGUACUUGAGGAGGAAGCCCCGGCUAACUACGUGCCAGCAGCCGCGGUAAUACGUAGGGGGCUAGCGUUAUCCG
rnacentral:rRNA from 1 species